rnacentral:rRNA from 1 species
AACGUGAAGAACCUUACCUGGGCUUGACAUCCAGCUGCAAGGGGUAUGAAAGUAUCCCGCCUUCGAGGUUGCUGGACAGGUGCUGCAUGGCUGUCGUCAGUUCGUGCCGUGAGGUGUUUGGUUAAGUCCACCAACGAACGCAACCCCUAGUCCGUGUUGCCAACGGGUAAUGCCGGGAACUCGCGGGCCACUGCUGGUUCACGCCAGAGGAAGGUGGGGAUGACGUCAAGUCAGUAUGGCCCUUACGCCCAGGGCUGCACACGUGCUACAAUGGCCGGUACAGAGGGAAGCGAUGCCGCGAGGCGGAGCCAACCCCAGAGAGCCGGCCCCAGUUCGGAUCGGAGUCUGCAACCCGACUCCGUGAAGUCGGAUUUGCUAGUAACGGCGUAUCAGCUACGACGCCGUGAAUGCGUUCCCGGGCCUUGUACACACCGCCCGU